GACGAACGCUGGCGGCGUGCUUAACACAUGCAAGUCGAACGGAAAGGCCCUGCUUGCAGGGUGCUCGAGUGGCGAACGGGUGAGUAACACGUGGGUGAUAUGCCACUUACUUUGGGAUAAGCCUGGGAAACUGGGUCUAAUACUGGAUAGGACCAUGCUGUAGGUGGUGUGGUGGAAAGAUUAGUUUCGGUAAGGGAUGAGCUCGCGGCCUAUCAGCUUGUUGGUGGGGUAAUGGCCUACCAAGGCGUCGACGGGUAGCCGGCCUGGGAGGGUGGACGGCUACAUUGUGACUUAGAUACGGCCCAGACUCCUACGGGGGGCAGCAGUGGGGAAUAUUGCACAAUGGGCGCAAGCCUGAUGCAGCGACGCCGCGUGGGGGAUGACGGCCUUCGGGUUGUAAACUCCUUUCAGCCAUGACGAAGCCCUUGUGGUGACGGUAGUGGUAGAAGAAGCACCGGCUAACUACGUG
rnacentral:rRNA from 1 species